rnacentral:rRNA from 1 species
UCGAGGGGCAGCAUGGGAGUAGUAAUACUUCUGAUGGCGACCGGCGCACGGGUGCGUAACGCGUAUGCAACCUACCUGUAACAGGGGGAUAACACUGAGAAAUCGGUACUAAUACCGCAUAACACUAUGAGAGGCAUCUCUUGUGGUUGAAAGUUUCGGCGGUUACAGAUGGGCAUGCGUUGUAUUAGCUGGUUGGUAAGGUAACGGCUUACCAAGGCGACGAUACAUAGGGGGACUGAGAGGUUAACCCCCCACAUUGGUACUGAGACACGGACCAAACUCCCACGGGAGGCAGCAGUGAGGAAUAUUGGUCAAUGGACGGAAGUCUGAACCAGCCAUGCCGCGUGCAGGAAGACGGCUCUAUGAGUUGUAAACUGCUUUUGUACAAGGGUAAACCUGAAUACGUGUAUUCAGCUGAAAGUACUGUACGAAUAAGGAUCGGCUAACUCCGUGCCAGCAGCCGCGGUAAUACGGAGGAUCCAAGCGUUAUCCGGAUUUAUUGGGUUUAAAGGGUGCGUAGGCGGAUUGAUAAGUUAGAGGUGAAAUGUCCGAGCUUAACUCGGGAACUGCCCCUAAUACUGUUGAUCUAGAGAGUAGAUGCGGUAGGCGGAAUGUAUGGUGUAGCGGUGAAAUGCUUAGAGAUCAUACAGAACACCGAUUGCGAAGGCAGCUUACCAAUCUAUAUCUGACGUUGAGGCACGAAAGCGUGGGGAGCAAACAGGAUUAGAUACCCUGGUAGUCCACGCAGUAAACGAUGAUAGCUCGUUGUCGGCGAUACACAGUCGG